rnacentral:rRNA from 1 species
UACGUAGGGGGCAAGCGUUGUCCGGAAUUAUUGGGCGUAAAGCGCGCGCAGGCGGUCAUUUAAGUCUGGUGUUUAAUCCCGAAGCUCAACUUCGGGUCGCAUCGGAAACUGGAUGACUUGAGUGCAGAAGAGGAGAGUGGAAUUCCACGUGUAGCGGUGAAAUGCGUAGAGAUGUGGAGGAACACCAGUGGCGAAGGCGACUCUCUGGGCUGUAACUGACGCUGAGGCGCGAAAGCGUGGGGAGCAAACAGG